CUGUGGGUUACUUUGAGUGGAGCCUAUUGUAAUAGUAAUGGGUCUUCCUAUGGGAAGGGUCAGCUGUAUGUAAGCUUUAUCAAACUAGGAUUUUGUAUUUUGAGGCUAAUUGGGAGAUGAGCAGAAGAAAGCCAGUGAUGAUAUGUUGUCAAGGCAGCUCUGAAAAACAAGCUUUCGGAAGGUCACAGGCUUGAGUUUGUAACCUUGCUGCCAUUUGUCUGGAGUUGUACCAAGGAUAUUGAAAUCAUUCAGGUGUUGGAUGUUCGUGACCUUAAUAAACACAUGACACCUUUUAUUAUCUGAAGCUUCAAACCCCACUGCGUGGAAGGAGGAAUGGUGCUAAGUGAGGCAGAAAGGGGAAACGGGAAGGAUCAAGUGUUCUAUAAGGAAAAAAAGAAGAGAUAAUAUUCUGAAGCUUGCAGGAUUCCCAUUGGCGUAUAGGAAGAUAAAGAGUUUCUUCUUUCUUUACUUCUGAUGUCACUUCUGUAAUAAGCUAUGCAUAUCCAUUUCGAUUAUUAUGGUUUUUUUUUUCCCUUCUCUUAAAACCUCUGGAGUGGGGAAUCUGUUUUCCAGGUUCCAGUCAAGUACAGAAUUUAUCCUGGAGUUAUGAACUCCUAAAUACAGAUGUCUAUUAUGAAAAUCCUGGAAAAUACAUGCAAAUGUAAUUCUAUAGUGAAAUGUUAUGAAUAUCCUACAUGCUUCUACUUGUUCUUGUCAUUUGUACAAAUAUUACAUACAGGAGGGAAAAAGAAAUCUGUCACUGUAAGACAUGACUUCCAAGGAACUGCAGUAACAUGUUUUUAACAAUUUAUUUCUAGGAAAAUGUGGAAGUUGCAGUUAGUCUAUUCAACUGUACUGUGUUAGCAAUUAAAACACACAUUAAAAAUCUCGUUUAGCUCUGAGCUCCCUUAAUUUGACUUAACUUUCCUAGAAUAUUGUAUGGAAGACAGCACAAGGUUCACUUUAAUUGGAUUAUGUUGGAAAAAGCUGCCACAAGAUGCUCUGGACCAAAUUCCCUGGCUGACUUAGACCAUAAUCCUUCUUGCAGAGUGGGUGGGAAAUGCUAUCAUUUUUUGACAUGAUUACAUUUUAUACCUACUUUACUUAUGUACAAGUGUUACAGCAAAGUAAAGACUGACUCCUGACAACGUAAUAUAAAGAGAAAUAAGGUAUUCAGCCAAGAUCAGGUAAAUGCCUGGGGCGUUAUCAGUAUGGGACUGAUAACUUUAUUUUCAUUUCUAAGCAAAGUCUAAUGAUUUCUUGGCCUGAAUAAAUAACAGGUGAUGUAGUUCUACUUAAAGAAGAAGCUAUC